UGAAUACGAGAUGCUACGGCGUCGAAGCAGUCUAUGUCAUACUUCCAAGAAAAGCUUGCACUGUCAUAAACAAAUAAUGCCUGUACCAUAACCGACACAGGUGGGUAGGUAGAGUAUACUAAGGGGCGCGAGAUAACUCUCUCUAAGGAACUCGGCAAAAUGACUCCGUAACUUCGGGAGAAGGAGUGCCUUAUUUAUAAGGUUGCAAUAACAAGAUCCAAGCAACUGUUUACCAAAAACACAGGUCUCCGCUAAGUCGUAAGACGAUGUAUGGGGGCUGACGCCUGCCCAGUGCCAGAAGGUUAAAGAAGUUGGUUAGCAUCCGCGAAGCUGAUAACUGAAGCCCUGGUGAACGGCGGCCGUAACAAUAACGGUCCUAAGGUAGCGAAAUUCCUUGUCGGGUAAGUUCCGACCCGCACGAAAGGCGUAAUGAUUUGGAUACUGUCUCGGAGAGGGGCUCGGUGAAAUAGACUUGUCUGUGAAGAUGCGGACUACCUGCACCAGGACAGAAAGACCCUAUGAAGCUUUACUGUAACCUGAAAUUGAAAUUGGACUUUACUUGCGCAGUAUAGGUGGGAGGCGUUGAGAAUAUUCUUGCGGGAUUAUUGGAGCCAUCAGUGAGAUACCACUCUUGUAAUGUUAGAUUUCUAACUUUGUAUCAUUAUCUGGUCAAAGAACAGUUUCAGGCGGGCAGUUUGACUGGGGCGGUCGCCUCCUAAACGGUAACGGAGGCGCACAAAGGUUUCCUCUGAACGGGUAGAAAUCGUAUCUAGAGUGUAAAGGCAUAAGGAAGCUUGACUGUGAGACCUACAAGUCGAGCAGGGACGAAAGUCGGUCUUAGUGAUCUGACGGUGCUGAGUGGAAAGGCCAUCACUCAACGGAUAAAAGUUACUCUAAGGAUAACAGGCUGAUCUCCCCCAAGAGUUCACAUCGACGGGGAGGUUUGGCACCUCGAUGUCGGCUCAUCGCAUCCUGGGGCGGUAGUACGUCCCAAGGGUUGGGCUGUUCGCCCAUGAAAGCGGUACGCGAGCUGGGUUCAGAACGUCGUGAGACAGUUCGGUCCAUAUCCGGUGUAGGCGUUAGAAUAUUGAGAGGAGCCUUCUUUAGUACGAGAGGACCGAGAAGGACAUACCUCUGGUGUACCAGUUAUCGUGCCAACGGUAAACGCUGGGUAGCUAUGUGUGGAGUGGAUAACCGCUGAAAGCAUCUAAGUGGGAAGCCCACCUCAAGAUAAGUAUUCUCAUC
rnacentral:rRNA from 1 species